rnacentral:sRNA from 1 species
UGGUUCCCAAAAGCAAAAGUAGUGUUUCCUUGUUAGCAGAUACAAAGGCAAAGACUCAUACGGACUUCGGCUACACCAUCAAAGUUUUGAGAAGAAAUAAGAAGCUUGGUUAGUAUUUUGGAGUCAAAUAAGACAAGAUGUUAUGUGUUUGAUUGAGUAUAAGAACUAGAACCGCAACAUUUUCCCAAAAGCUAAAGUUGUGUUUCCCUUCUAGAAGAUACAAAGCCAAAAACUCAUACGGACUUUGGCUACACCAUCAAAGCUUUAAGAAGCAACAAGAAGUUUCGUUAGUGUUUUGGG